CCUACGGGAGGCAGCAGUGGGUAAUUAUGUACAUGGGGUGCUUGCCUGAUCCAGCCAUGCAGCUGUGAUGAAAUAAGGCCUUCCGGUUGUAAACCGCCUUUUGUCAAGGAAGAAAUCCUUUGGGUUAAUACCUCGGGGGGAUGACGGUACCUGAAGAAUAAGCACCGGCUAACUACGUGCCAGCAGCCGCGGUAAUACGUAGGGUGCGAGCGUUAAUCGGAAUUACUGGGCGUAAAGCGUGCGCAGGCGGUUGUGUAAGACAGAUGUGAAAUCCCCGGGCUCAACCUGGGAACUGCAUUUGUGACUGCACGGCUCGAGUACGGCAGAGGGGGAUGGAAUUCCGCGUGUAGCAGUGAAAUGCGUAGAUAUGCGGAGGAACACCGAUGGCGAAGGCAGUCCCCUGGGCCUGUACUGACGCUCAUGCACGAAAGCGUGGGGAUCAAACAGGAUUAGAUACCCUGGUAGUCCACACUGUAAACGAUGAUUACUCGAUGUUGGCGAUACACAGCCAGCGUCUUAGCGAAAGCGAUAAGUAAUCCACCUGGGGAGUACGCCCGCAAGGGUGAAACUCAAAUGAAUUGACGG
rnacentral:rRNA from 1 species